rnacentral:rRNA from 1 species
AGGUUAAAACUCAAAUGAAUUGACGGGGGCCCGCACAAGCGGUGGAGCAUGUGGUUUAAUUCGAUGCAACGCGAAGAACCUUACCUGGUCUUGACAUCCACGGAAGUUUUCAGAGAUGAGAAUGUGCCUUCGGGAACCGUGAGACAGGUGCUGCAUGGCUGUCGUCAGCUCGUGUUGUGAAAUGUUGGGUUAAGUCCCGCAACGAGCGCAACCCUUAUCCUUUGUUGCCAGCGGUCCGGCCGGGAACUCAAAGGAGACUGCCAGUGAUAAACUGGAGGAAGGUGGGGAUGACGUCAAGUCAUCAUGGCCCUUACGACCAGGGCUACACACGUGCUACAAUGGCGCAUACAAAGAGAAGCGACCUCGCGAGAGCAAGCGGACCUCAUAAAGUGCGUCGUAGUCCGGAUUGGAGUCUGCAACUCGACUCCAUGAAGUCGGAAUCGCUAGUAAUCGUGGAUCAGAAUGCCACGGUGAAUACGUUCCCGGGCCUUGUACACACCGCCCGUCACACCAUGGGAGUGGGUUGCAAAAGAAGUAGGUAGCUUAACCUUCGGGAGGGCGCUUACCACUUUGUGAUUCAUGACUGGGGUGAAGUCGUAACAAGGUAACCGUAGGGGAACCUGCGGUUGGAUCACCUCCUUA